CUCCUAGCUUCUCGUGGAGGAGUCGAAAUCGAUCGUGGCGCCGGUGGGCUACGCUUCUCUCGAAUUCUUUCUCCUAUCUUCAACGUUCUCUCUUAUUAGACCCUUCACCAUGUUCGGCGGCAUGUACGGCGGCGGCCUGGGUGGCAUGUACGGCGGCGGCCUGAGUGGCAUGUACGGCAGCAGCAUGUACGGCGGCGGGCUAGGUGGCAUGGGCAGUAGCAUAUACGGUGGCGGCAUGUACGGCAACUCGGGUCUCAUGGGAGGCUCAUCGCACGGCAUGAGCGGUGGCCUCAACAGCUUUGCCCGAAACAACCCGUACGGUUCCAACUCCAACUACAGCCUUGGUGGUUUCAACAGCCUCGGCAGCAACGCCGACGGCACUCAGAAUAACGGCAUGCAAUCCUCGCUCACCUUGCAACAGCAAGCGGACCAGCCCAAUCAGCUAGCGUCCCCUAUCCACCAGCACGCUGCAUCUUUGCCACCACUGAACGAGUCACCUGAGGAGCGCAGCCGUCGUAUCCAGGCGGAGCACAAGAAGGAACGCCAGCUGAUUCGGCAGCAGCGAGAGCAACACCGACAAGCGCGCCUGCAGGCCCGGAUGGAGAUUGCGGGCCAUCUCACCAACGUGCUCGUGCAGGGCCUCCGCUCUGCCAUGGAGCUCUUCGGCGUGUGCUUCGGUACCUACUAUAGCAUGAAGGCGGUGCGCGCAUUUUCCAACGCGCAGGAGCGGAUGCCAGGCAUGGGAAUGGGCAUGGGCGCUACUUACCCGUACGGCGCCGCGGUCGCCAAGACGCAGGCGGUCGUGACGGGUGCUUCGGGGGUCCAGCAGGCCGCCAAAGCCGCCAGCGGGGGCCCAAGCAGGUGGCGGGCGUGGCUGCUCUGCAUUGCUUUUUUUCUUUUGGGCGAGGUCCUGUACGGGAUCGCCACACGGCAGCGCGCAAAUCCGCCGCAGCGCCGGCAUCGCAUCACCAGCCCAGCAGAGGACGCCUACGGAAACGUAAUUAGCCAGGACGAGUACGAGGUGAGCAUCCGCUCCAGCGACGCCGAGUCGCGCCUGACGGAGGAAGACAAGGGCGAGGAGGAGACGCUCUCGGAGGCAUGGGGACAUACAUACAACGCCAAUGGCGUGUACGGUGCCUCACAGGCGGUGCGGCCAAGUGGUGGCACCGGUGCCCGCCGAGUAUACUAUGCACUGUACGACUACCAGGCUCCACAGGCCGACGGUUCGCGCUUGAGCUUCAAGGCGGGUGACGAGUUUGUGGUGGAGAACUACGCCGAGGGCAGCUGGUGCGAGGCGAUGGCGGUGGAGGGUGGGAGCUACUCGUCUCACGCCCGUCGUGGUCUCGUACCGAGCAACUUCUUGCGUCUCGCAGAGCGCAUCACGAAAUUGUAGUGGCGCACGCCCUUCGUUGCUGGCUUUCCCUUGGGCCCCUCGCCACCUGCUGUCUUGUUCUCUUUGUCUUUCCUGCUCCGCUCUUCUUCGUGUGCUUUCUUUCCUCUGCUCUAUCACACUCGCUUCCCUCUCUUGUGGCCUUCUCCUUCCUGUGUCCAUCACACUCCCCCUCCUUCUCUCACUUAUUCUCCCCCAUCCUCAAUGACUGUGUUAGCACCGCCGGCACGGCGCGAUAUGACAGAGAAAAGAAGGAGGGUAGCUAAUGUUCGUUAUUGGAGGAUGUCAUGUGCGAAGGUUCCCAAAGAAGAGGAGAGCUAAGGGAGUGGGGGAGGGGGGCUGCGUGGAGGAUGAGGCACAGCAGAAGACAUGGCGCCUAUCCAUGUGUCUGGGUGCGCGCCAUAUUAUCCUUUCGCCUCUGAAAGUUCCGUUCAGGGUUUCGUACUGCCAGCUCUUACCGUCGAGGGCACUUUUUUUGUUUGCGAAACGAGGAGGGUGAGAAGGGGUGAGGGACAGGUUAUCUACUGCAGUCUCUGUGUCUGUGUGAGCGAGUCAGGGGCGAGUCGAUGUUGAGUACAGCGGCAGCGGGGGAGGGGUUGAGCGAGGUGGCUGCUUUUGUCCCCAUCUCCUCUUUUAGGUGAUUCCCCGCACUCCUCACUCUCCUCUUCCCUCUCUCACACAGCUCCCUUUAUCCCCUCGUGUGUGUGUUUCCUCCCGUGGUUUCUGAUCCGCAUUUCAUCUUUCAAAAGUAUUUGUACCCGUUCUCUUUGCGUCGUCUCGCCUCUCGGUUUAUUUCCUUCCCCGCCUGUCUCUCUCCGUGUGUCGGCGCUUGCGUGUUACUGUCAUGGGCGCUCGUGUCUGUCUUUCUGUUCUCCUCUUCUGUCCCUUGUUGUUUCGUCGCUCUCUGUUUGUUUCAUCGCGUGCUCUUCUAAGGUGCAAGGCUAAGUCACUUGAUAACGCUCUCAUUUGCCCUUUACGUGCCUUCGACUCUAUAACGGAGAACGGGAAACCCAUGCGCAUGCGGCGGGUGACCUGUUCCUCUGAAUGCGCUCAUGUGUCUGUGUGUCCGCUCUUCUUCUGUCCCCUUCCUGUUGCCGUGCAUGGGAGCGAGGAGGACGCAAGAGGCGCACGCCUUUGUGUGUUGCUGUGCCACGGCAUGCCAAGCAAGCGCGGAACUCAGAGUGCCGCACCAGAGGCUGUCCGCAUGUGUGUUUGUGUGUGUCAGUGUGGUGGAAAGGCCCUUGUGCUACUUGUGUACAAGCUGUCCGACAGCGUUGCUUUCGCAUACCUUUCUGCGUC
rnacentral:misc_RNA from 1 species